rnacentral:pre_miRNA from 1 species
UGAUUUUAAUUUUCCCCCAUGCCCUCCUUUUCUCUAAAAAAACAUAUUUUUAGAGGAAAGGAGGGCAUAGGGAGAAAAUUAAGAU